rnacentral:rRNA from 1 species
CCAGGCCGUAAGACCCUAAACAUAAACCUAUAUAUUUUGGCGGCAUUUCAUCUAUUUAGAGGAACCUGUCUCUUAAUCGAUACCCCACGCUAAAUUUCACUUUACCCUAAAACUUACAUACCGUCAUCUUCAAAUAAAUUAAAAAAUACAAUUUCCAAGAUAAAUCUAAAAGGAUAGAUCAAGGCGUAGUCAAUAACAAAGACGAGAUGUGUUACUUUAAAAACAAUUUAAAGACCGCUAACAAAAGCUUAAAGAUAAAAAGGAUUUAACAGUAACAUCAUUAAAUAUUAAUUAAUAUUGAAUUAGAUUAUUAAUGUGC